GGUUAAGCGACUAAGCGUACACGGUGGAUGCCCUGGCAGUCAGAGGCGAUGAAGGGCGUGCUAAUCUGCGAUAAGCGCCGGUAAGGUGAUAUGAACCGUUAUAACCGGCGAUACCCGAAUGGGGAAACCCAGUGUGAUUCGUCACACUAUCAUUAACUGAAUCCAUAGGUUAAUGAGGCGAACCGGGGGAACUGAAACAUCUAAGUACCCCGAGGAAAAGAAAUCAACCGAGAUUCCCCCAGUAGCGGCGAGCGAACGGGGAGGAGCCCAGAGCCUGAAUCAGCAUGUGUGUUAGUGGAAGCGUCUGGAAAGGCGCGCGAUACAGGGUGACAGCCCCGUACACAAAAGCGCAUGUGCUGUGAGCUCGAUGAGUAGGGCGGGACACGUGGUAUCCUGUCUGAAUAUGGGGAAAUUCAUCCUCCAAGGCUAAAUACUCCUGACUGACCGAUAGUGAACCAGUACCGUGAGGGAAAGGCGAAAAGAACCCCGGCGAGGGGAGUGAAAAAGAACCUGAAACCGUGUACGUACAAGCAGUGGGAGCCCCACCACCAAAGCAUUCUCUGGUGUUGAAGGCCCUGCAAAGCAGCAUCGCGGUGGCGGAGCGUCGUUUGCGACGCCCAACACACAAAACAAGCGGUGAGUGCUUUGGGGUGGGGUGACUGCGUACCUUUUGUAUAAUGGGUCAGCGACUUAUAUUCUGUAGCAAGGUUAACCGAAUAGGGGAGCCGGAGGGAAACCGAGUCUUAAUUGGGCGUUAAGUUGCAGGGUAUAGACCCGAAACCCGGUGAUCUAGCCAUGGGCAGGUUGAAGGUUGGGUAACACUAACUGGAGGACCGAACCGACUAAUGUUGAAAAAUUAGCGGAUGACCUGUGGCUGGGGGUGAAAGGCCAAUCAAACCGGGAGAUAGCUGGUUCUCCCCGAAAGCUAUUUAGGUAGCGCCUCGUGAAUUCAUCUCCGGGGGUAGAGCACUGUUUCGGCUAGGGGGCCAUCCCGGCUUACCAACCCGAUGCAAACUGCGAAUACCGGAGAAUGUUAUCACGGGAGACACACGGCGGGUGCUAACGUCCGUCGUGAAGAGGGAAACAACCCAGACCGCCAGCUAAGGUCCCAAAGUCAUGGUUAAGUGGGAAACGAUGUGGGAAGGCCCAGACAGCCAGGAUGUUGGCUUAGAAGCAGCCAUCAUUUAAAGAAAGCGUAAUAGCUCACUGGUCGAGUCGGCCUGCGCGGAAGAUGUAACGGGGCUAAACCAUGCACCGAAGCUGCGGCAGCGACACUCAGGUGUUGUUGGGUAGGGGAGCGUUCUGUAAGCCUGCGAAGGUGGCCUGUGAGGGUUGCUGGAGGUAUCAGAAGUGCGAAUGCUGACAUAAGUAACGAUAAAGCGGGUGAAAAGCCCGCUCGCCGGAAGACCAAGGGUUCCUGUCCAACGUUAAUCGGGGCAGGGUGAGUCGACCCCUAAGGCGAGGCCGAAAGGCGUAGUCGAUGGGAAACGGGUUAAUAUUCCCGUACUUGGUGUUACUGCGAAGGGGGGACGGAGAAGGCUAUGUUGGCCGGGCGACGGUUGUCCCGGUUUAAGCGUGUAGGUGUGUGUUCCAGGUAAAUCCGGUUCACUUUAACACUGAGGCGUGAUGACGAGGCACUACGGUGCUGAAGCAACAAAUGCCCUGCUUCCAGGAAAAGCCUCUAAGCAUCAGGUAACAUCAAAUCGUACCCCAAACCGACACAGGUGGUCAGGUAGAGAAUACCAAGGCGCUUGAGAGAACUCGGGUGAAGGAACUAGGCAAAAUGGUGCCGUAACUUCGGGAGAAGGCACGCUGACACGUAGGUGAAGUGAUUUACUCAUGGAGCUGAAGUCAGUCGAAGAUACCAGCUGGCUGCAACUGUUUAUUAAAAACACAGCACUGUGCAAACACGAAAGUGGACGUAUACGGUGUGACGCCUGCCCGGUGCCGGAAGGUUAAUUGAUGGGGUCAGCGCAAGCGAAGCUCCUGAUCGAAGCCCCGGUAAACGGCGGCCGUAACUAUAACGGUCCUAAGGUAGCGAAAUUCCUUGUCGGGUAAGUUCCGACCUGCACGAAUGGCGUAAUGAUGGCCAGGCUGUCUCCACCCGAGACUCAGUGAAAUUGAACUCGCUGUGAAGAUGCAGUGUACCCGCGGCAAGACGGAAAGACCCCGUGAACCUUUACUAUAGCUUGACACUGAACAUUGAGCCUUGAUGUGUAGGAUAGGUGGGAGGCUUUGAAGUGUGGACGCCAGUCUGCAUGGAGCCGACCUUGAAAUACCACCCUUUAAUGUUUGAUGUUCUAACGUGGACCCGUAAUCCGGGUUGCGGACAGUGUCUGGUGGGUAGUUUGACUGGGGCGGUCUCCUCCUAAAGAGUAACGGAGGAGCACGAAGGUUGGCUAAUCCUGGUCGGACAUCAGGAGGUUAGUGCAAUGGCAUAAGCCAGCUUGACUGCGAGCGUGACGGCGCGAGCAGGUGCGAAAAGCAGGUCAUAGUGAUCCGGUGGUUCUGAAUGGAAGGGCCAUCGCUCAACGGAUAAAAGGUACUCCGGGGAUAACAGGCUGAUACCGCCCAAGAGUUCAUAUCGACGGCGGUGUUUGGCACCUCGAUGUCGGCUCAUCACAUCCUGGGGCUGAAGUAGGUCCCAAGGGUAUGGCUGUUCGCCAUUUAAAGUGGUACGCGAGCUGGGUUUAGAACGUCGUGAGACAGUUCGGUCCCUAUCUGCCGUGGGCGCUGGAGAACUGAGGGGGGCUGCUCCUAGUACGAGAGGACCGGAGUGGACGCAUCACUGGUGUUCGGGUUGUCAUGCCAAUGGCACUGCCCGGUAGCUAAAUGCGGAAGAGAUAAGUGCUGAAAGCAUCUAAGCACGAAACUUGCCCCGAGAUGAGUUCUCCCUGAGACUUUAAGUCUCCUGAAGGAACGUUGAAGACGACGACGUUGAUAGGCCGGGUGUGUAAGCGCAGCGAUGCGUUGAGCUAACCGGUACUAAUGAACCGUGAGGCUUAACCUU
rnacentral:rRNA from 1 species